AACGAACGCUGGCGGCAUGCCUAACACAUGCAAGUCGAACGCGUGUAGCAAUACACGAGUGGCGGACGGGUGAGUAACGCGUGGGAACCUGCCCAAUGGUAGGGAAUAACUGCGGGAAACUGCAGCUAAUACCCUAUGCUCCCUACGGGGAAGAUUAUCGCCAUUGGAGGGGCCCGCGUCGGAUUAGCUAGUUGGCGGGGUAACGGGCCCACCAAGGCUACGAUCCGUAGCUGGUCUGAGAGGAUGAUCAGCCACACUGGGACUGAGAUACGGCCCAGACUCCUACGGGAGGCAGCAGUGGGGAA
rnacentral:rRNA from 1 species